AUUAGUCUGGGAAAGUCUCGACGCUUCGCAACCAGGCUUACGGGAACAGUGAAUAACAUUUUUUAUUAGUCUGGGAAAGUCUCGACGCUUUGCAACCAGGCUUACGGGAACAGUGACGUGGGCCUUGAAGUGGGGGUCGACCCCUGCGUGUGGAGGAGGUGGUAACGCCUCCUCCUCGUGGGUAAGGUUUGUGCUACCUUAUUUUUAUCUUUUUCUGUCUUUUCAUUGCCUUAGGGUUUGGUUUUUUCUCGUUCUCGGCUCUGUGUCUUUCCCAUCUAUGCGCAUGUGCGGGAUUAAUUAUGAGACACCAUGGGUGACUCAUCUAGAGGAUAGAGAAACAACUCACAGUGUCCAGAUGAAUUAAUGGAGGUCGCAGGUAAUAUUAGCCCUAAGUCGUUUAAAGAUGCCCUCGCCGACGAAGUUUUCUCUGUUCCAACCGACGCAUUUUUUGAUUCGGUGAGUGAUUCUGGGUCUGGUUUUGAUGGCGGAAAGGAAGGACGAGCUAUGGAUGUCGAAAAAUGCCCGACCUGCAGAUUUCUUGAUGAUUGGACUAUGAAUAUUUGGAUUAAAAAACUAGGGUAUCAUGUCUCUUUUUGUCGUAUGUUGCAAAAAGGGUUGUUUGUUAUUUUCUUUCAGGGAUGCAAAAUCCUAAUCUACUGUUGUGCAUAAGCAAUUCUGGACUAUAGGGAGAUGUACUUUCAGGGCCUUUAAUUGGACUCGCGAUGCAGUCAAUGAGGAAAUUUUGGCACUCUUGUUCCUUA